rnacentral:lncRNA from 1 species
UGUGUGGAAGACAUGGCGGUGGGGUGGGUUAGUGUUAUUAUAUACAACACUCAGAACAUAUUUCUAUGCUAAGGAUAUUAAUUUGUCAUAUGAAAUGACAUAAAUAUGAAAGAAUAGUUAAUUCUUAUUGUUGCAUCUACUAUGGAAGAGCAUUUACUUCCAAAAGAACAGCAGGAACAUCAAUGGGGCGAGAGUUCUGCAUUCAUCAAAGUCCAUCCAGAGGAACCAGAGGAAGUUCUUGUUAGCAGUCCAUCUCCUUCACUUACAGCAAUUCUAGAGACUGCAUUUAAUACUGCUGCUUCUCAGUCUUCUUCCAGUCUUCAUAAUGGUAAACUUUUAUUUUUACAAUAUUACACCAUAUCAUAUUAAUAAAUUUGUAU